rnacentral:rRNA from 1 species
UACGUAGGGUGCAAGCGUUAAUCGGAAUUACUGGGCGUAAAGCGUGCGCAGGCGGUUUUGUAAGACAGAUGUGAAAUCCCCGGGCUCAACCUGGGAACUGCAUUUGUGACUGCGUAGCUAGAGUACGGUAGAGGGGGAUGGAAUUCCGCGUGUAGCAGUGAAAUGCGUCGAUAUGCGGAGGAACACCGAUGGCGAAGGCAAUCCCCUGGACCUGUACUGACGCUCAUGCACGAAAGCGUGGGGAGCAAACAGG